CCCUUAGAUGUCCUGGGCCGCACGCGUGCUACACUGAUGCAUACAGCGAGUACUUUCCAGCUCCGCGAGGCAGCUGGUAAUCAGCAAUAUGCAUCGUGCUGGGGAUAGAUCUUUGGAAUUAUAGAUCUUGAACGAGGAAUUCCUAGUAAGCGCAAGUCAUUAGCUUGCGCUGAUUACGUCCCUGCCCUUUGUACACACCGCCCGUCGCUACUACCGAUUGAAUGUUUUAGUGAGCCUCAGGGACUGGGACCGUUGGUGGCAACACCGGCGGCUUCGGGAACUGAUGCAAACUUGAGCAUUUAGAGGAAGUAAAAGUCGUAACA
rnacentral:rRNA from 1 species